GACGAACGCUGGCGGCGUGCUUAACACAUGCAAGUCGAACGGAAAGGCCCUGCUUUUGUGGGGUGCUCGAGUGGCGAACGGGUGAGUAACACGUGAGUAACCUGCCCUUGACUUUGGGAUAACUUCAGGAAACUGGGGCUAAUACCGGAUAGGAGCUCCUGCUGCAUGGUGGGGGUUGGAAAGUUUCGGCGGUUGGGGAUGGACUCGCGGCUUAUCAGCUUGUUGGUGGGGUAGUGGCUUACCAAGGCUUUGACGGGUAGCCGGCCUGAGAGGGUGACCGGCCACAUUGGGACUGAGAUACGGCCCAGACUCCUACGGGAGGCAGCAGUGGGGAAUAGUGCACAAUGGGCGGAAGCCUGAUGCAGCAACGCCGCGUGCGGGAUGACGGCCUUCGGGUUGUAAACCGCCUUCGCCUGUGACGAAGCGUGAGUGACGGUAAUGGGUAAAGAAGCACCGGCUAACUACGUG
rnacentral:rRNA from 1 species